rnacentral:lncRNA from 1 species
AUGUCUAUUUCAUUCCCCAGAGUGGCUUCAAUUAAUAUCUGGGUUCUCACUUGUCUUUAUAAUUAUUCAAUAAUGUCACGGUGUUUUCACAGCUUGCAGACUCAUGAAAAUCUCCAACACCCCCAACACCUCCAGCACCAUCACUGGCUUCAUCCUCUGGGCUUCCCUUGCCCCAGGGAGGGGCAGAUUCUCCUCUUUGUGCUCUUCUCUGCUGUCUACCUCCUGACCCUCAUGGGCAACGGUUCUAUCAUCUGUGCUGUGUGCUGGGAUCAGAGACUCCACACCCCCAUGUACAUCCUGCUCGCCAACUUCUCCUUCCUAGAGAUCUGGUAUGUCACCUCCACUGUCCCCAACAUGUUGGCCAACUUCCUCUCUGACAAUCAGUUCAUCUCCUUCUCUGGGUGCUUUCUCCAGUUUUACUUUUUCUUCUCCUUGGGUUCUACAGAAUGCUUUUUCUUGGCUAUUAUGGCAUUUGAUCGAUACCUUGCCAUCUGCUGGCCUCUACACUACCCCACCCUCAUGACUGGACGUCUCUGUGCCAAUCUUGUGAUCAGCUGCUGGGUACUUGGUUUCCUCUGGUUCUUGACUCCCAUCAUCAUCAUCUCCCAAAUGUCAUUCUGUGGGUCCAGGAUCAUUGACCACUUCCUGUGUGACCCAGGUCCCUUGUUGGCCCUCACCUGUACUAGAGUCCCUGUAAUAGAGUUAACUAGCUCCACCUUAAGUUCUCUCCUCUUAUUUAUCCCCUUUCUCUUCAUCAUGGUGUCCUAUGCUCUGGUCCUACAAGCUGUGCUGAAGUUCCCUUCAGCAGCUGGACGAAGAAAAGCUUUCUCCACCUGUGGGUCCCAUCUGACUGUGGUUUCUCUUUUUUAUGGAUCAGUGAUGGUCAUGUAUGUGAGCCCAACAUCUGAACAUGAUGCUGGAAUGCAGAAGAUAGUGACUUUGUUUUAUUCUGUAGUUACUCCACUCAUUAAUCCUGUAAUAUAUAGUCUGAGAAACAAAGAUAUGAAACAUGCUAUGAAGAAAUUAUUAGGAACAUAA